ACCUCGACACCUACGGGAGCAGCAGUCGGGAAUAUUGCGCAAUGGAGGAAACUCUGACGCAGUGACGCCGCGUAUAGGAAGAAGGUUUUCGGAUUGUAAACUAUUGUCGUUAGGGAAGAUACAAGACAGUACCUAAGGAGGAAGCACCGGCUAACUAUGUGUCAGCAGCCGCGGUAAUCUGAGCGGGCUGGCAAGGC
rnacentral:rRNA from 1 species